rnacentral:rRNA from 1 species
UUCGGGUUGUCAUGCCAAUGGCACUGCCCGGUAGCUAAAUGCGGAAGAGAUAAGUGCUGAAAGCAUCUAAGCACGAAACUUGCCCCGAGAUGAGUUCUCCCUGACUCUUUAAGGGUCCUGAAGGAACGUUGAAGACGACGACGUUGAUAGGCCGGGUGUGUAAGCGCAGCGAUGCGUUGAGCUAACCGGUACUAAUGAACCGUGAGGCUUAACCUU